UACGGGAGGCAGCAGUGGGGAAUAUUGCACAAUGGGCGCAAGCCUGAUGCAGCCAUGCCGCGUGUAUGAAGAAGGCCUUCGGGUUGUAAAGUACUUUCAGUCGUGAGGAAGGUGUUAAGGUUAAUAACCUUAGCAAUUGACGUUAGCGACAGAAGAAGCACCGGCUAACUCCGUGCCAGCAGCCGCGGUAAUACGGAGGGUGCGAGCGUUAAUCGGAAUUACUGGGCGUAAAGGGCACGCAGGCGGUUAAUUAAGUUGGAUGUGAAAUCCCCGGGCUUAACCUGGGAAUGGCAUUCAAGACUGGUUAGCUAGAGUCUUGUAGAGGGAGGUAGAAUUCCAUGUGUAGCGGUGAAAUGCGUAGAGAUGUGGAGGAAUACCGGUGGCGAAGGCGGCCCCUGGACAAAGACUGACGCUCAUGUGCGAAAGCGUGGGGAGCAAACAGGGAUUAGAUACC
rnacentral:rRNA from 1 species